GAUGAACGCUAGCGGCAGGCCUAAUACAUGCAAGUCGAACGGGAUUGGAGAGCUUGCUUUCCAUGAGAGCGGCGUACGGGUGCGUAACGCGUAUGCAACCUACCUUCAUCAGGGGGAUAGCCCGAAGAAAUUCGGAUUAACACCGCAUAACAUUAUUGAAUGGCAUCAUUUAAUAAUCAAAUAUUUUAUAGGAUGAAGAUGGGCAUGCGUGUCAUUAGCUAGUUGGCGAGGUAACGGCUCACCAAGGCGACGAUGACUAGGGGAUCUGAGAGGAUGACCCCCCACACUGGUACUGAGACACGGACCAGACUCCUACGGGAGGCAGCAGUAAGGAAUAUUGGUCAAUGGAGGCAACUCUGAGCCAGCCAUGCCGCGUGCAGGAAGACUGCCCUAUGGGUUGUAAACUGCUUUUAUACGGGAAUAAACCUGAUUCGUGAAUCGAGCUGAAUGUACCGUAAG
rnacentral:rRNA from 1 species